UAGGGAUGCAGUCCUUUCUAUACCUCUCUUCCUCUCUCAUAAUUGAACUGUCCUUUUCUUUAUAUUAGAUGCAACAACAUUUGAGCCAACAACACAAUUGACCCCAGCAACUAGUAAGUAUUAUCAACAUCUGGAAAAGUCACUGAGUUAUUUUAUCAGAAGUCCAUAAACAAUUGAUCUUAUGGAUGUAGUCUUUUAUGUACCUCUCUUCCUCUCUCAUAAUUAACUGUCCUUUUCUUCAUAUUAGAUGCAACAACACCAUUUGAGCCAACAACACAAUUGACCCCAGCAACUAAUGCAACAACAUUUGAGCCAACAACACAAUUGACCCCAGCAACUAGUAAGUAUUAUCAACAUCUGGAAAAGUCACUGAGUUAUUUUAUCAGAAGUCCAUAAACAAUUGAUCUUAUGGAUGUAGUCUUUUAUGUACCUCUCUUCCUCUCUCAUAAUUAACUGUCCUUUUCUUCAUAUUAGAUGCAACAACACCAUUUGAGCCAACAACACAAUUGACCCCAGCAACUAGUGCAAAUACAUUUCAGCCAACAACACAAUUGACCCCAGCAACUAAUGCAACAACACCAUUUGAGCCAACAACACAAUUGACCCCAGCAACUAGUAAGUAUUAUCAACAUCUGGAAAAGUCACUGAGUUAUUUUAUCAGAAGUC
rnacentral:lncRNA from 1 species